rnacentral:rRNA from 1 species
UACGUAGGGUGCGAGCGUUGUCCGGAAUUAUUGGGCGUAAAGGGCUCGUAGGCGGUUUGUCGCGUCGGGAGUGAAAUCCACUGGCUUAACUGGUGGCUUGCUUUCGAUACGGGCAGACUGGAGGUAUGCAGGGGAGAACGGAAUUCCUGGUGUAGCGGUGAAAUGCGCAGAUAUUGGGAAGAACACCAGUGGCGAAGGCGGUUCUCUGGGACGGUACUGACGCUGAGGAGCGAAAGCGUGGGGAGCGAACAGG